UAUGCAGCUGGAGCCAUUGGUCCCCCCA
rnacentral:piRNA from 1 species